rnacentral:lncRNA from 1 species
GCACCCAAUUUUCCCCAUCACUAACACAAAACCAAAACACACACAAAAUCAUCUCUCUCUCUCUCUCUCUCUCUCUCUCUCAAUUGCCAUCUGCAGAGUCUUCAUUUUCAGCUUCUUAUAAAACCUCUCUCUCUCUCUCUCUCUCUCUCUCUCUCAAUUGCCAUCUGCAGAGUCUUCAUUUUCAGCUUCUUAUAAAACCUCUCUCUCUCUCUCUCUCUCUCUCUCUCUCUGUUUCUCUUUAAUAGUUAAAUUAAUAUAAAUUCAAUUGGACUGUUUGAAUUAUUUCGAAUUUCGAG